rnacentral:rRNA from 1 species
AUUGAACGCUGGCGGCAGGCCUAACACAUGCAAGUCGAACGAGUGGCGGACGGGUGAGUAAUGUCUGGGAAACUGCCUGAUGGCGGGGGAUAACUACUUGAAACGGUAGCUAAUACCGCAUACCAUCGGAUGUGCCCAGAUUGGAUUAGCUAGUAGGGGGGGUAAAGGCUCACCUAGGCGACGAUCCCUAGCUGGUCUGAGAGGAGGACCAUCCACACUGGAACUGAGACACGGUCCAGACGCCUACGGGAGGCAGCAGUGGGGAAUAUUGCACAAUGGGCGCAAGCCUGAUGCAGCCAUGCCGCGUGUAUGAAGAAGGCCUUCGGGUUGUAAAGUACUUUCAGCGGGGAGGCGUUACCCGCAGAAGAAGCACCGGCUAACUCCGUGCCAGCCGCCGCGGUAAUUC